GAUAUGGUUAAGGUUAAGGUUCAGGGUUAGGGUUAGGGUUAGGGUAACAAACAACACUUAGUGACAGCUGCUAAUGACAGGUGUCAUGUCAUAAUAAUGACAGUGUAAUGUCAGCCUUAUUAAAAAAAUCGGGGCUUUCGCCUUUAAUUGGCCAUGUAAUGUUAGUACAUUAAUGGAAUUCGUCCUCUGCAUUUAACCCAUCCCUGAGGAGCAGUGAGCAGCCAUUUUGCGGCGCCUGGGGAGCAGUUCGGGGUUAAGGGACUUGCUCAACAUCCCACAGUGAUGGCCCAGGUGAGGCUUGAACCGGCAACCCUUCGAUUAUAAAACCUCAAGUAAAGUUUUACCGAAAGCGAAAAUGACAGAGAAAACAUGAAUCAUUGUGUAAACUACUUCAUUGUGAAAAAACUCAUUUUCUAAAAUCCUGCAAUUUUUCUCAAAUUAUUCCACAUAAUCUGCCCAAUAUAAAUAAAAUUUGGUCAAAUAAUGAAUAAAUCAAGGGACAUUUGAGUAUCUGCCACUUAUUGCUUUGAUAUUGUUGAUGCUUUCUAUACUUUAUGUCUCAUUUAUAGCUGGAAGUGCAAACUUGGGCACAUUAUUGUUGAAAUUGUUCGUUUUCCCUACUAAAUCCUGUGGCCCACUUGUGAUGGAACUGGUCCGUAUUUGGCCCUUGAACUAAAAUGAGUUGACACCCCUGCUCUCUGCCUUGCUCAGGAUGUCCGCAAGGCUGCUGAGGAUCCGCCAAGCUCCUCCUGGACCCAGUGGGAUGAAGGACAGGGACAUGGAGGACACCAUACAGGAACUGGAAGCUCGAGUGGUGAUGCUGGAGAGCCAGAAAGGAAUGUUACAGAACAAACUCAGCCUGGCCAAGCAGCACAUCAUGGACCUGGGAAUACGGACGCCACAUCGACUCAGCAAAGGCAAAUCUCUGGAAGUGGAGGGUGGAGCCAGGAGGGCGGCUCAGACGGCUCCUCCUCGCUACGGACACAUGUUGGAUGACACCAGAGCAGAGAUGGAAAGGCUCAGGUCCAAUAUGGCUGAACAGGUGAGGAUGGCUGAACUGGAGCUGACAACUCAGGCACUCAGAGACACGCUGAGGGAGAAGGAGAAGGAGAUGGAGGGAACCGUAAUAGAGAUGAAGAAGCACCAGGCUGAAAGGCACAGGUGGCAAAAUCUACUAAUUUAUUUCAACAUCAGUGAAAACUCUAUCCCUGCCAUUGGUAAUUUAUCAAUCUAGUGUUUUCCCUUUCCUUGUCAGAAUCACCAUUAGGGAAAACGUGGAUCUGAUCCGUUUAAAAAAACAGCUUUCAGACAAAAGUGCAGCCUUGAGAGUUUCUCAGGAGAAGUUCACUGACCUGCAAAAGGUGUGAUUGGUUACAAAUCUGCUAAUCAGUUUUAAAAACUCUUUUUUUUUAACACAAACCCAUUUCCUCUUUCUUCUAUUCAGGCCUAUGAGAGUCAGCUGGAAGAGGUACAGUAAAUAAACCUUGGCUCAGGAACA
rnacentral:lncRNA from 1 species